rnacentral:lncRNA from 1 species
CCGGGCGUGGCAGUCAGUCACACCUCACUCACCGUACUCUCCAGCCCUUCAUUUGAUCGUGAAAUCCUAGCGGCGAAUGCCAGCCGCUCGCUUGGCCGCGGCCCCCCGGCCCUGAUAUUUUUGCUUGGCCUGUCGGUGCGCACUGCAUCUGUGCUCGAUCGGUGCUCUCAUCAUAUUCCCUUCCCAUCCCAGUGUUCUUCAGCUCCCUCCCUGCAUCCUGCAAAUUCUCUCUCAACUGCAGAACUGCUGCACUCACCUUACGUUGCGUAAUACUGUAGGUCACAAUUCAGCACAGCGCCAUCACACGGAGAAAAAAUUUCCCUUCCUUUUGUUUGGAUGCAGAAAUUGACAAUGACUAGCUACUCUCAUCGCCAGUCAAGUGCGCUUGACGUUUCAGCCAGGAGAUAGUAUAGUUUGUUUUUACAGAUGCUACAAGGAUUUGCUGAGGUAUUAGGCGAUGAUGAGAUCGAUGCUACUUUAAUUUUGUCGCCAGUUAUAAGUGGGUGUCAUUAUAUUAUAUAUAACCCUCUAUAGGUUUGUCAAUUUGGUGCCGUCCCUGCAGGUGGAAGCAGAUGCCACGCGAAUAUGCCCUCUCCCAUCCACCAUCCAUCCAUGGCGCCAUUCCCUGCGUAACUCUCAGAUAGCGCCGGACGGUUAAGACAAUUCACCUGGUUAUGUAUCUUGUCAUGCAUAUUCCAUAUAGAUAUAGUAGUAGUUACUAGUGUGUGUUUUUUUCUCUCUCGCAUACAUAAAAGAUUUAUGAAUUAUUGUAAUUAAGGUAGAAGAGUUUAUUACAAAAGACGCGCUGCUCUCGAGCAUCCUAGGAGGUCUAUAUAGAAUUAUAGUUACAGGUUGGGACUAUACUAUCUUACAGAUUUAAGUUUUAGUAGUAUACAAAAAGUAGAUAACCAAGAUGUGGACGGCAAUGCAACUUAAUAUGUCAUCAAUCCAUAAAGUAAUAUGCACAAUGUCUUGUAUUACGUUUACCCAGCUUGUAUAUAUUUCAAUCCUUUCGAGCAAGGAAUCAAAGGGUAGAUCAACAUGCUUGAUGACUGCGCCUAAUAUGGCCAAACAAGUCUUCAGUUUUUCCCUCUAGAGUCUUGAUUUCCAUGGCCAGGCCAGCAGGG